CUACAGGCUUAACACAUGCAAGUCGAGGGGCAGCAUGGUCUUAGCUUGCUAAGGCCGAUGGCGACCGGCGCACGGGUGAGUAACACGUAUCCAACCUGCCGUCUACUCUUGGACAGCCUUCUGAAAGGAAGAUUAAUACAAGAUGGCAUCAUGAGUCCGCAUGUUCACAUGAUUAAAGGUAUUCCGGUAGACGAUGGGGAUGCGUUCCAUUAGAUAGUAGGCGGGGUAACGGCCCACCUAGUCUUCGAUGGAUAGGGGUUCUGAGAGGAAAGUCCCCCACAUUGGAACUGAGACACGGUCCAAACUCCUACGGGAGGCAGCAGUGAGGAAUAUUGGUCAAUGGGCGAGAGUCUGAACCAGCCAAGUAGCGUGAAGGAUGACUGCCCUAUGGGUUGUAAACUUCUUUUAUAAAGGAAUAAAGUCGGGUAUGCAUACCCGUUUGCAUGUACUUUAUGAAUAAGGAUCGGCUAACUCCGUGCCAGCAGCCGCGGUAAUACGGAGGAUCCGAGCGUUAUCCGGAUUUAUUGGGUUUAAAGGGAGCGUAGAUGGAUGUUUAAGUCAGUUGUGAAAGUUUGCGGCUCAACCGUAAAAUUGCAGUUGAUACUGGAUAUCUUGAGUGCAGUUGAGGCAGGCGGAAUUCGUGGUGUAGCGGUGAAAUGCUUAGAUAUCACGAAGAACUCCGAUUGCGAAGGCAGCCUGCUAAGCUGCAACUGACAUUGAGGCUCGAAAGUGUGGGUAUCAAACAGGAUUAGAUACCCUGGUAGUCCACACGGUAAACGAUGAAUACUCGCUGUUUGCGAUAUACAGCAAGCGGCCAAGCGAAAGCGUUAAGUAUUCCACCUGGGGAGUACGCCGGCAACGGUGAAACUCAAAGGAAUUGACGGGGGCCCGCACAAGCGGAGGAACAUGUGGUUUAAUUCGAUGAUACGCGAGGAACCUUACCCGGGCUUAAAUUGCAGAUGAAUUACGGUGAAAGCCGUAAGCCGCAAGGCAUCUGUGAAGGUGCUGCAUGGUUGUCGUCAGCUCGUGCCGUGAGGUGUCGGCUUAAGUGCCAUAACGAGCGCAACCCUUGUUGUCAGUUACUAACAGGUUCUGCUGAGGACUCUGACAAGACUGCCAUCGUAAGAUGUGAGGAAGGUGGGGAUGACGUCAAAUCAGCACGGCCCUUACGUCCGGGGCUACACACGUGUUACAAUGGGGGGUACAGAGGGCCGCUACCACGCGAGUGGAUGCCAAUCCCCAAAACCUCUCUCAGUUCGGACUGGAGUCUGCAACCCGACUCCACGAAGCUGGAUUCGCUAGUAAUCGCGCAUCAGCCACGGCGCGGUGAAUACGUUCCCGGGCCUUGUACACACCGCCCGUCAAGCCAUGGGAGCCGGGGGUACCUGAAGUGCGUAACCGCGAGGAGCGCCCUAGGGUAAAACUGGUGACUGGGGCU
rnacentral:rRNA from 1 species